GUUCAUCCUAUAGAGUUGCAGAGGAAAUCUUGGCUCUAUAAGAAUACUAACAGACGGAAUACUAUGCAGCCAUAAAAGAGGAUGAGUUCAUAUCCUUUGCAGGGACAUGGAUGAAGCCUGAAACCAUCAUUCUCAGCAAACUAACACAGGAACAGAAAACCAAACCACAUUCUCUCACUCGUAAGUGGGAGUCCAACAAUGAGAACACAUGGAAACAGGGAGGGGAACACCACAAACCAGGGCCUGUUGGCAGGUAGGGGGCUAGGGGAAGGAUAGCAUUAGGAGAAAUACCUCAUGUAGAUGACAGCUUAAUGGGUGCAGCAAAGCAUGUGUAUACCUUGUAACAAACCUGCAUGUUCUGCACAUGUAUCCCAUAUGUAUCCAAGUAUAAUAAUAAUAAAAAAGAAUACUAUUAGUAUUUUAUAGAUUUUAUAACUUCCAAUGGGGCUAUCUGGUGCAAGCACCAGUUUUUUUGUCUGAAUUACUAUAAUAGCCACUUAACUGCUGUUCCAUCUUGAACUCUUCCUCUUUAUAGUAUAUUCUCAACAUGGAAGCAAGAACAAUAAUUUUAAAAUGUAAGGCAGUUCACAUUAGUUUUCUUUAUAAAACCCAGAAACUUUACAAUGGCUUUGAAAGUCCCAUAUAACAUGGCUUCCUUCCACUACUUGCUCACAACAAUUUGGCACACUGACCUCCCUGUUCUUUCUCACUCAAGGGUGUUGCCUCUUUAGGGAUUCCACAUUUGCUUUUCUCUCUGACUCCAAAGUUCAUAAUGCAUAUAAUUGCAUCGCUUAGUCUCUCAUCUGCUGCCAAGUUCUAGCUUGAAAAUACUAUCUCCUCACUUAGGUCAAACAUGAUACCGCUAUUUGAAAUUGCAAAUUAUAUGCCCCUUCUUCCUAACCUGUCAUUCUAGAUCAUCUCACCUUGAUCUAUACAUAUUUUUCUAUGGAAUUUAUCACCUUACAACAUGCCCCAUAAUGUAAUUAUUUAAUGUUUAUUAUGUAAUUGAUUAUGUUUCCCCCUAAGAUGAGCUUCAACAAGAGCAGGAAUCUCUGUUUUGUUCACUGAUACAUCUCUAUGUUCUUAGAAAAAUCUGUAGUAAAUAAUAGUCACUGAAUAAAGUCUUAUUUAAUAAAUGGAU
rnacentral:lncRNA from 1 species